rnacentral:rRNA from 1 species
UACAGAGGGUGCAAGCGUUGUUCGGAAUUACUGGGCGUAAAGAGUGUGUAGGCGGUGCUCUAAGUUCGGUGUGAAAUCUCCCGGCUCAACUGGGAGGGUGCGCCGGAAACUGGGGUGCUGGAGCGCGGGAGAGGAAAGCGGAAUUCCUGGUGUGAGCGGUGAAAUGACGUAGAUAUCAGGAGAAACACCGGCGGUGUAGACGGCUUCUGGACCGUAGCUGACGCUGAGACACGAAAGCGUGGGUAGCAAACAGG